rnacentral:lncRNA from 1 species
AGCUUCCCAGGGUGAUGCAACCAAGUCCAUUGCUCAGAGUUUUCUGUGGAGGCAACAGCUGUGUAGUGUGGCCAGAUCUACACUGCAGAGGAAAAUGAAAUGGCUGAAACAUCUGGACCCUAGGUUUCCCAGUGUGUGGUGAGGACAGAUGAGGACACUCUAGUAGCCUCUUCCAUAGGUGGCUGUCCUGUUUUCCAGAGCAGAAAGCGAUUUGAUAUUCCAUCUGAGAAGAGCACAGACCAACCUUGACCCAAGAGUCUCUCACUCACUUAUUUACUUAGUGUUCUCACAAUAGCAACAAAGAUAUCUUCCUCCCACUUACUGCUGGAUUGAUGCUGGAAAUCCUGUGGGUACAGAUUCAUUCUGUUCACUUAAAACAUCUCAUUCUCCUAAAAUACAAACUUUACAGAGGGAAGCACAGCACAGGAGGGCUUAAUUAUUGAGCCCCACACAUCUUUAGGAUUCAAGCAGAGCCGUGUUUACCUGCCUUUUUUUUUUU